GUGACAUAUGAAGGGCAACUCAAGAAGAGUUUAUUUUUAAAUGGAUUAUUUGCAAGGGAUAGUGCAGGAACCAGGAGCUAAUAAUAGCAACUCAACUGUUUACCACUCAUAAGCACAAAGAACUGAGGCAGAGAGUAGUUACUGGAACAAGAAGAAACCAGAAUAUAGAAAGAUUUGUGUUGAACUGUUUUGAGAAGAGCAAUGUUUUUUGUGAAGGAGUCUGCGAAGUCAAGACAGCCUACCAGAAGGAAGACAAGGGAAUAAAUACCCUAACCUCCCUCUCCUCUUUUCCUCUGAUUUCCUGGGAGCUUACCAUUGGCUGAGUCCAACCAGAGCCCAGAAGGUGUGGAAGUCCUAUUGAUGCAGUUGAUUCAGGUCCAGUGUGCUUGUUGCUCGAGACCUCAUGCCUUCUGGACCCAGACAUCUCUGCAAUCUUGGAACUGGAAUACACCGCUUCUUGUCAAGGUACUAGCGAGUUGAUAAGUAACUCCUCUCAGUGGUAUUUCUUUGAAACACUCAUGCUGAAUACCCCUGAAAUAUCGCAUGUCCUUCUCCCACCACACCCCCCACUGAGGGUAAGCACACCUUCCUGGCAUGACUUCAGGGACACUAUACUUCUAAUUCCAAUUGUGGCUAGAAUAUCUGCAUCUCUCCGCCUUCUCUUGUAAGGACAAAAAACAUCUUCAAAUACAUGUUAUUUUCCUUUUUCCAUGAGUCUACACUUUCAUUGAAAAGGUUGCUAGGAGCUGUAUUAGACAUGACUUGAAUUUUUUUAAAGUUUUGUUUUUUUCCUUUCAGCUUGAGGCUUCUUACUCAUACAACCUAUGUUUCCUCUAACUGGGGGUGGGGGUGGGAAUCUGUCCUUUGAGC
rnacentral:lncRNA from 1 species